AUGGUGGAAAGAAUUUGCGAGAUUACUCAACUACCCAAACAGAGAUGCGCGAGCAAGCCAAGCACGAAUGCAUGGAGCUGGCAGGCUGCUGCAAAAUCUACAAGAGCAUCACACAGACGGGAAAGGAAGGAAUCAGGCACCCCCCAAAAAUACCUGGAUCGUGUAGCCCUUGCUGGUGCGGCGGAAACAACCGGCGGCGGCGGGCCGUUCCAUAUGACGGCGUCUCCCCGCCGCACCGCCUACUUCCCGCGUAUCUCUCUCCCUCUCUCUAGGCUGCUCGCCCCCUUUCUCCGCGCUGAGACGCUUCGUCCGCCGUCGCCGGCCGGCGGUAGCGCUGUUGCCAUCGGACAUUCUUAG
rnacentral:rRNA from 1 species